CUUGCGCUUUGAAAACAAUGAGGUAAUGAGGCCUAAUUGGGACCUGUCAAUUGUUCAUCACCUCAACAAACAGGUGAUGUGAGCACGUCAUCCAAGCAGCCAAUAGGGAGAGGUGGGGCAGGUGCAUUUUGAUGAUAUUAAAGGAACAUGUGGCUGCUUGGAGAAGUAGGACAGAAACAUUUGUCUGUUUUUGAGGGUGGCCAGGGUUGUUUUUGGAGCUUUGAUUUUUGCAAUGGCAGAAACACUCUGGAAGCCUUUGUGGAUUUUGUUACUAGUACUGAGUUAUGCUGAUGCAGGAAGUGUUUACAGGCAUCAUUGUACAAAAGAUGGUGCUCAGGAUGGGAGCACUGAAAGUACUACUGCUCAGACAAGCUCUGAUUCUGGAUUUGUGCCUAGUCAAGAAGCUUAUUUUGAGGAAACCCAGGACUUCUCAAAAACUCAGGCCUUUGAUAGUAGUUUGACCAAUGCAGGCUCAAGGGCAUUCAGUUUUCAGGGAACUACCUACACCUCAAGCUUUCAGCCACUAACUAGGGAUCUUAAGCCUGCCCUAAGCACCUCCUUCCAACAAGCCUCAGACCAGUCUGUGCAGACAGCAUACCAGCAGGCAGGUUCAGCCCGGCCUGUCCAGAGCAGCUGCCGACAGGUAGCUUCAGCCCGGCCUGUCCCAUCUGCUUCCCAGAGAGUAUCUUCCGCCCAGCCUGUCCCGAGCAGCUACCAUCAGGUGGCUUCCGCCCAGCCUGUCCCGAGCAGCUACCAUCAGGUGGCUUCAACCCAGCCUCUCCCAUCUGCUUCCCAGAGAGUAUCUUCCGCCCAGCCUGUAGCGAGCAGCUACCAACAGGUGGCUUCCGCACAGCCUGUAGCGAGCAGCUACCAACAGGUGGCUUCCGCCCAGCCUGUCCCGAGCAGCUACCAUCAGGUGGCUUCAACCCAGCCUGUCCCAUCUGCUUCCCAGAGAGUAUCUUCCGCCCAGCCUGUCCCAUCUGCUUCCCAGAGAGUAUCUUCCGCCCAGCCUGUAGCGAGCAGCUACCAACAGGUGGCUUCCGCCCAGCCUGUAGCGAGCAGCUACCAACAGGUGGCUUCCGCCCAGCCUGUAGCGAGCAGCUACCAACACGUGGCUUCAGCUCAACAUGUAGCGAGCAGCUACCAAAAGGUGGCUUCAGCCUGGCCUGUCCCAUCUGCUUCCCAGAGAGUAUCUUCCGCCCAGCCUGUAGCGAGCAGCUACCAACAGGUUGCUUCAGCUCAGCCUCUAGCGAGCAGCUACCAACAGGUGGCUUCCGCCCAGCCUGUAGCGAGCAGCUACCAACACAUGGCUUCAGCUCAACCUGUAGCGAGCAGCUACCAAAAGGUGGCUUCAACCUGGCCUGUCCCAUCUGCUUCCCAGAGAGUAUCUUCAGCCCAGCCUGUAGCGAGCAGCUACCAACAGGUUGCUUCAGCUCAACCUCUAGCGAGCAGCUUCCAACAGGUGGCAUCAGCCCCGCUUUUCCCAUCUGCUUCCCAGAGAGCAUCUUCAGCCCAGCCUGGAGCGAGCAGCUACCAACAGGUGGCUUCCGCCCAGCCUGGAGCGAGCAGCUACCAACAGGUGGCUUCCGCCCAGCCUGGAGCGAGCAGCUACCAACAGGUGGCUUCCGCCCAGCCUGGAGCGAGCAGCUACCAACAGGUGGCUUCAACCCCGCUUUUCCCAUCUGCUUCCCAGAGAGCAUCUUCAGCCCAGCCUGUCCUGAGCAGCUACCAGCAGGUUGCUUCCGCCCAGCCUGUAGUGAGCAGCUACCAACGCGUGGCUUCAGCCCAGCCUGUCCCAUCUGCUUCCCAGAGAGCAUCUUCAGCCCAGCCUGUCCUGAGCAGCUACCAGCAGGUUGCUUCCGCCCAGCCUGUAGCGAGCAGCUACCAACAGUUGGCUUCCGCCCAGCCUGUAGCGAGCAGCUACCAUCAGGUUGCUUCCGCCCAGCCUGUAGCGAGCAGCUACCAACACGUGGUUUCAGCCCGGCCUGUCCCAUCUGCUUCCCAGAGAGUAUCUUCAGCUCAACCUGUACAGAGCAGCUAUCAGUCUGGCCUUUCUUCCCCAAGUGUUGGCUUUGGUUCUAGUGCUGUGGGAACCGGACAAAGUGCUUCGAGUCUGUACAGCUCUCAGGACGUUUCCUCUACUUCAACCUAUAAGCCCUCUGUUGGCGCUCUAGGACUUGCCCAAAGCACGUACCAGCAGGGAGUUUCAUAUCGGCCUGUGCAGAGCACUUUGCCAUCCAGCUUUGUUUCUAGGGCACAUCCAUACGCCUCAAGCUUUAAGCCCUCUACUAGCACUUCAAAGCCAGUCCAAAGCGGCUACCAGCAAAAAGCAUCAGAUCAGCCUGUCCAAACUGCUUCCCAGAGAGUAUCUUCAUCCCAGCCUGUAACAAGCAGCUACCAACAGGUUGCUUCAUCCCAGCCUGUAGCAAGCAGCUACCAACAGGUGGCUUCAGCCUGGCCUGUCCCAUCUGCUUCCCAGAGAGUAUCUUCAGCCCAGCCUGUCCAGUCAGCAUACCAGCAGGUAGCUUCCACACAGCCUGUGUGGCGUAGUUCUCCACCUAGCUUUGUUUCCCAAAAGGUUGGCUUUGAUUCUAGUGCAGUGGGAUUAAGUGGCUCAAGGGCAUAUUCUUACACCACAAGCUUGAAGCCCUCUACUAGUGCUUCACAGCCUGUGCAAAGCACCUACCAGCAAAAGCCUGUCCAAACUGCUUCCCAGAGCAUAUCUUCAGCUCAGCCUGUACUGAGCAGCUAUCGGUCUGGCCUUUAUUCCCAAAAUGUUGGCUUUGAUUCUAGUGCGGGGACAGGCUCCGGGGUGUCCUCCUAUACCUCAAGCUUUAGGCCCCCCACCAGCAUUUCUAAGCCUGUCCCAAGCAGCUACCAGCAAGUAACUUUAUCCCAGCCAGCUCAGAGUAGCUACCCGCCUGAAGCUGCUUCCCAAAAUAUUAGAAUGGAUUCUUCUUUGACUGAAGUGGUAGGAAGUGUCUUGAGAAAUGACUACGGUUCUGAAGUAGCUACAACUGGAUUAAACUACAGGCCUUUCACCAGCAUAUCUACACCUUCCCAAAGUACUUGCCGACAGGUGACUGCAGCCCAGCCCGUUCAGAGCCGAUACCAAGAUGUGCCUUUUUCCCAAACCAGCUAUGGUGCUAGUUUGAGUGGUGUGACUUCAACUGGUUCAAGGAGUCUGUAUACCCCUUCAGACUCGGUGGCUUCAGUGGCUUCUGCUCAAGCGUUCAGAUCACCAUAUUCCUAUGCUCAGGCUUUGAGUUCCCUAGACAACUCUCAACCCUCUGCUGGCUCUCCAAGAUUAACAUGGACACAAAAGGUGCUGGAGUAGCUGAUAGCUUCCACUCCAUGGUGGGAUUGUCGCAGCAGCUGAACCUUUGAUUCAAAACUUUCUAAAUAAAUAUUCAACUCUUUUGGGAUGUCUUGUGUUUUGUUCUAAAUGCAAGUGUUCGGGAAGUUUAUUU
ensembl:lncRNA